UACGGAGGGUGCGAGCGUUGUCCGGAAUCAUUGGGCGUAAAGCGCGUGUAGGCGGUCCGGUAAGUCCGCUGUGAAAGUCGGGGGCUCAACCCUCGGAUGCCGGUGGAUACUGUCGGGCUUGAGUACGGAAGAGGCGAGUGGAAUUCCUGGUGUAGCGGUGAAAUGCGCAGAUAUCAGGAGGAACACCGAUGGCGAAGGCAGCUUGCUGGGACGGUACUGACGCUGAGACGCGAAAGCGUGGGGAGCAAACAGG
rnacentral:rRNA from 1 species